ensembl:lncRNA
CUACGUUACCCACAACCACCUGUGCUGUCAUCGCUUUGCCACCAGAUGUUCAGAUUGCUCCUCAACAUUCUGAUUGAACUCUUCCUCCAGAAACACUUGAGCGUUUAUUUCCAUAAUCAUUGACAAGAAAAACUGAAGAUUGUGAAGAAGAGUUGAAGUAGUGUGGGAAGUAACUCCUCUGAAAGUUUAAUCUUGUGGAAAAUACAUUGAAUACUAAGCAAGUAUUUUCUGAAGAUAUCUACACUUUGGGGGGAUUUCUGGAGCCCUACAAGAUGUAACAGAUCCCAAGAUAAACGGCAUGGCUCCCUGGGCGUGCUGAAGAGGCGGCAUUGGCGAUGAUGCGAGGCACCGCCUAGCAUGCUUCCGGGGUGCAUCGAGGACGGAAAAUAUAAACUGCUCCCAUGAGACUUUGUUGGCAGGCUGGCUCCUACAGAUGGCUGCUUCUCCAAGGCCUCGUUCACACUCCCCAGGUCAUAUCGACGCAGCACCAGGUCAUAUCGACGCAGCCCCAGGUCAUAUCGACGCAGCCCCAGGUCAUAUCGACGCAGCCCCAGGUCAUAUCGACGCAGCCCCAGGUCAUAUCGACGCAGCCCCAGGUCAUAUCGACGCAGCCCCAGGUCAUAUCGGACAUAACACGACUUCUGCGUCGCUCUAGAUCAACAUCUGUCACAAUCUUGAACUUGGUGUCUACAAAAAUGAAAAAUAGCUGCCAUGGUGGUAGUCAGUGUAGGGAAGUAUAAAUCGUAGUCAACAGUUGUAAUGUAGUUCAGGCAGCCCUUGAAAUCCUGAAAUGUUUCAGCAAAGCCAUUCACGUUAUGAUCUCACUACUUAAUGACUCCGCAUCCACACACACUUCCGUACAAAAACACCAGAUCCAAGCAAUAUAUCCGACGUGAGCUCAAAGGCUUUGCAGUGUGAAUGGAGCAUAAGGAGAACAGAAGUAUUAACCCGACAGGUCCAAACUAUCUGUGAACAUUCUGUUCAGCUGCAGUUUUCUUUCUAUGAGUUGCAUAACAAUUAUAAUUUAUUUAUUCACUGCACACAAUAAACAUUGCAAAUGCAAUAGGAUUAAAACAUUGCCCAUAUCUGACUUUAAUGCAUCUGGUCUUUGUUUGUGAUGAAAUAAAUUAGCUAAAUUAACUUAUUGAGAAUAUCAUGCCAAACUGUAAUUUAUUUAUGAAAGAUUCUUUUUCCUUGGUUGGUGAGUGAAAGCAACUGAUCAAAUAAAUAGAUUUGCUAUUGGUUCGAUUUUAUGGUUUAUUUACUAUUGAAAGUAUUUCCAUAAGCAUCAGUGCAUCAACACUUUGGCAUUAGGUUUGGCAGCUGAAAAGUCAACUCAAGUUUUUUAGGUUUGCUGAAAGACCUCAGAAAGUAAAAUUGAAAAUUGUGUUCACAUGGAUUUUUGUUGAAUGUAACUUUUUAUAUUGAGAAUAUCAAUAUUUCUUCUCAUAAUAUGCAUUCAUGAUACUGGUACAGGACGCUCCUUGUAAACUGUUUAUUUUGAAUCUCAAUCCAGAAUUGGUUCAUUCCGACUGACUGAAACCAUACCGUGUACAAAAUAUCCACAUGAAUUAUGAAACAGCCAGUAUGGAUGAGCGGGUCUGAUCUCUGUCUGACUUGAAGCCUUAAUUUUAAGGUAGCCUUUGGCCAUGUUUUUUAUUGCAGUCAUAUUUCAUCAAAGAAUUUCACCAACAUGCGAGUAAAAAACAUAAUGAACCUUUUGUGGGUCAGAGCGUCCUCAUUGUCUUCACGAGAACAGAGAAUGUAAUUUAAGAUCUCAAACCUUGCUGGAAAAUCGAAGAUGGUGUAUAUGACACAUGCAGUCCUACAUGUAACAAAAGACAAGAGGAAACAUCCCAUUUUCCUUUGGAUUCAAUUUGCGUUAAUAAAUUCUAAAUAAAAUGUCACAAUAUUUAUCAUUUGUUUGUGUGCACUCCCUUAAAAUAAGCUAAUUGUGAAUAAUAUAAAUGUAUUUUUAAUCAAA